AAUGAACGUUGGCGGCGUGGAUUAGGCAUGCAAGUCGAGCGAGAAACUCUUUUUUGAUCCUUCGGGUGAAGAAAAGAGCGGACAGCGGCGAAAGGGAGAGUAACGAGUAGAUCACGUACCCAAGGGUUCGGGAUAGCUGCGGGAAACUGCAGGUAAUACCGAAUAAUGUCUCCGGACCAAAAAUUUAUUGCCCUUGGAGCGGUUUGCUUACUAUUAGCUUGUUGGUGGGGUAAAGGCCUACCAAGGCAAAGAUGGUUAGCGGGUGUGAGAGCAUGGCCCGUCUCACUGGGACUGAGACACUGCCCAGACACCUACGGGUGGCUGCAGUCGAGAAUCUUCCGCAAUGGACGAAAGUCUGACGGAGCGACGCCGCGUGCGGGACGAAGGCCCUCGGGUUGUAAACCGCUGUCAGUAGGGAGGAAAUUUUGACCGAUCUACAGAGGAAGCACAGGCUAAGUUCG
rnacentral:rRNA from 1 species